CUCGGUGAAGAGAAAGUAAAAAAAAUGCAGAGAAGAAAUCUUUGGGUCUCUGCUACUAAAAUCCUAAGCAGAAGAUUACGUUCAAGUUCUCGAUUUUCAACUAAUUUGGAUCCCGAGUUACAAUCUACUAGAGUUAUUUCUUGUUCGUUUCACCAUGCUGGAGAAUCUAGGGUUUUUAAGAGCUCAUAUGGCAACAUUUUUCUGGCGAAUUACAGGAAGAAUUUCUGUUCAUUAGAUGAAAAUUCUGGGAGAUGCUGGAAUUGUGGAGUUGUGGCUGUGUCUAAACCAUUUCUCUCUUGUGACUCUUGUAAAAGCGUUCAACCGGUUCAUACUUCCGUGGAUUAUUUCCAGAUUUUCGGAUUGGAGAAAGCGUUUGAGAUAGAGGAUACCAAUCUGGAGAAAACAUAUAAAGAUUGGCAGAAGAAACUUCAUCCUGAUUUGGUUCAUAUGAAAUCUGAGAAAGAAAAGGAGUUUGCUGCUGAACAGUCCUCUCGGGUAAUUGAUGCUUAUCGAACACUAAGGAAGCCGUUGUCUAGGGCAAUAUACCUUUUGGGUCUUGAAGGUGUACAUGUGGAUGAAGAAAGAACAGUAUCGGAUCCUGAAUUACUAGCUGAGAUCUUGGAUAUCAGGGAAGCAGUUGACGAGGCCUCUAAUUCACAGUCUUUAAAGAAAAUCCAGGGUCAGGUACAAGAGAAGCUAGAAAUCUGGUCCAAGUCCUUUGAGAGUGCUUUUAACAAAAAGAAGUUUGAAGACGCUGUAACCUCAAUUCAAAGAAUGACUUGCUACGAUCGAAUAAAUGACGAAAUUGUAAAGAAGCUUUGAUUUAGAUCAUAACUUUUUCUGAAAGGAAGACGACGGAGAAAGAUUAAUAGAAUCAGGAGAAGUCAUCGAAGUAGUAUUCUGUUAACAAAUGAAGUUAUCCAAGGAGAACAUUGGACUUUCUGUUUGUUGCGUGGAAUGGUGAGACUGCGAGAAGAGUAAUUAGAUGUACUUGAACCUGGUUGAGAAUUCUCAUGUGAAGGCUGGACAGACAAGUUUUCCAAUUUAUAUUUUGGAUUCAUUCUCAGAUACAACUGGUUAGUCACAACUACCAUCUCGCUGGAUUAUUCAUUUGGAACUUUAUUCUGUGUAUAUUAUUUUAUAUCCUAACUUGUUAGCUGCAUUUUAAAAGUGGCUUCAAGUGAAAGAUUUCCUUCGUAUCAUCCAAGGUUACGUAGAGAUGGUUUGUUUUGGUAAUGAUAAGAGACUCUAGAAUAGGCAUGUCAAGUAACAUGUACUUUAUGAAUAUAUGAUCAUCAUGUUAAAUAACAAAA